GAUGAACGCUGGCGGCGUGCUUAACACAUGCAAGUCGAACGGAAAGGCCCUGCUCUUGUGGGGUGCUCGAGUGGCGAACGGGUGAGUAACACGUGAGUAACCUGCCCUUGACUUUGGGAUAACUUCAGGAAACUGGGGCUAAUACCGGAUAGGAGCUCCUGCUGCAUGGUGGGGGUUGGAAAGGUUCGGCGGUUGGGGAUGGACUCGCGGCUUAUCAGCUUGUUGGUGGGGUAGUGGCUUACCAAGGCUUUGACGGGUAGCCGGCCUGAGAGGGUGACCGGCCACAUUGGGACUGAGAUACGGCCCAGACUCCUACGGGAGGCAGCAGUGGGGAAUAUUGCACAAUGGGCGGAAGCCUGAUGCAGCAGCGCCGCGUGCGGGAUGACGGCCUUCGGGUUGUAAACCGCUUUCGCCUGUGACGAAGCGUGAGUGACGGUAAUGGGUAAAGAAGCACCGGCUAACUACGUG
rnacentral:rRNA from 1 species